UACAGAGGGUGCUAGCGUUGUUCGGAAUUAUUGGGCGUAAAGGGCGCGUAGGCGGUUUCGCAUGUCCGAUGUGAAAGCCCACCUCUUAAAGGUGGAAUUGCAUCGGAAACUGCGAGACUAGAGUGCCGGAGAGGGUGUGGAAUUCCUGGUGUAGAGGUGAAAUUCGUAGAUAUCAGGAGGAACACCGGUGGCGAAGGCGGCCACCUGGACGGUUACUGACGCUGGAGGCGCGAAAGCGUGGGGAGCAAACAGG
rnacentral:rRNA from 1 species